CUUACUACUGGCGCGGUGGUUUGAGUGACAGGUCUGAAAGCCCUCCCUCGCCCCUUAUUACUAUUGGACAGGCAAGCAUUGAUUUUAGCAUUUAUCUACUACCGGUGGACGUACACCCGGAUAUGUAGCAAGCGCCUAGCCUUUAGCAAUAUAAACGGGGCUCUCCACAGACAAUCGGCAGAUUUCUAACAAUCAUAUUUCCAAUCGAUUCAUCAUUUUAUCGCAAGUGUAACACGAAAUACAGAACCGUUUAAGCUUCACAUUGUGUUUCUAGGUUGACGUUGUUUAGGCUCCACGACGUCCGCAAUGGUUAGCUCUCAUAGCCACCAUGGGCUAUCGCUAACUAGCCGCCCUGUCACCUUGGCUGUUAUCUCCAGAACUGCUCACGCUCGAGCCUCAACGUCCUUGAGACCAACUGGAAAUAUACGGUAUGAAAUUAAGUGUGAUUCUUAAAAAAGUAUAAAUUAUAUCGAAAUUCUGUGUCUACAUAUACGUAUAGAAUAAUACAGAAGAAGAAAGAAAGAAUAAAACUAAAGAACAAUAGUGGAGAGUGGCAAUUCUUCCAAAAGUUGGAUUUCAGACUUGAUCUUGGAUAGAGUGUUAUCCACUGGGCUGACUCGGGUGAGACUGGAGACUGAGGAAGCGGACCAAACACAGGAGAUUAGUAGCAAGUGUCAGUCCCUCUCAGCUCCAGAUGGCUCCUGGUUCUGAGCCAGUGGGACAUGGCUUCCCUCUUCUGCUCCACUGGUGGAAGAAGACGAGCAGGAGUCAGUGUUUCAGACCGGCGUCUCCGCGGGCGUCACACGGGCGUCGUUGAGGGUCAACCAUCCGGCGCCGUCCUCUCCAGCGACGUCACUGACGUAGUGGCCUGGGGGACACAAGACAUCCAUUACCUUACUGUCCCCCAGCGUGGGACGGGUCUAGUGUCUGACGCGUGUGUCAGCUCUCUCCCUGGCCCCUCUCACCCCAUGAACUUCCUGAAGACCUCUGUCCCUGUCUCCUGCACUGUCAAGAUGAUCCACUGCUGCUGAGAAACACACCAACAAUCCUGUUUUGUACACAACUGAAAAACUCAAGCGGUUGGGCAUGAGAUAGGAAUCCAUCACUUUUUUCUUACCCAUGUUUGCACUUGGUUUUGCUCCAGAUGCGAUGUCCCCCUCUCCAUAACUUGAUCUACAACACAUUCCAUACAUAAUGAUUAAUCAGAUAUUGAGGAUCGUAAAUUAAACACUAAAAUGGUUGUGUGAGGUCCUCUAUAAGAGGCAGGGGAGCUUAUGGCCGGAUUACCAAUCUAGAUUCAUCUGACUGUUUCAAUGACGCCCAGCACUCCCAACCCACCCAAUCUGUUUCCAUGAAGCACAACGCACUGCCUACCGUCCCAGUCUGUUUCCUUAUCUCUUACCUCAGUGGGUCUAUCCCAGCUGCAGCACCCUGCUCUCCAACGAGGGAGGCCAGAGACAGCCAUGGAGGAACGCUGACAGCAUCGGUCACCUUCCUCAACCGUGCCCCGUCGUGGUGGAAGCGCUUCAUGUGAAGGAGUAACACUCUGUGGACACAACUCUGUGGUUCAUCGUCCGAUCGCUGCAUGCACACACGCGCCCGUACGUAUGAAAAGGCUGCUUCAAGGCAACAUUGGAGACAACAGACUCAAGUUCAUGGCUCACCUGGGCAGAGUGAGGAAAUGCCGAACCGCUGUUGCCUGGCAUCCAGAGCACUGCCGGCAGGUGCACUCCAACUCUGAAGGCUGAGGGAAAGUGCUCUGUGAGUAUCAGUGGACCAGCGUAAUCGGACACACCAACACAACGGUGUACUGACUUUGAAGUAGAAUUGGAGGCCAGCUAUCAACGACGGGUGGAGGUCCAAGGACAAGUGGUUCUGCUCCUCCUCCUGGAAGACCUUGUCACCGCAGCUUUUAAGACGGGCAGAGAACAGAAAAUCACCAUUUGAACACAGCAGACCAGAUCAUGAUGCCAAAAGUGUUGGCGUAACAUUGAUUGACUUUCAUUCAAUGAUGGAGGAACUAUAGUAGUAUUAUGCGACAACAAUAAUACGUUCGAUGAAGUCAACCGUUACCUGGUGCAGGUGCGUACACACUGCAGUCUGAACUCAAAGUUCUGGACGGGGCAGAGAUAGCUGGGUGACGUGGAGAUCUCCUGCAGUGUCUCACCUUCCAUCUUCAUCUUCAUGAAGAGGAGGAGCAGGAACUCAUGAGCAUCCUGUCAGAAACCAGAAGUUCAGUUGACAUGUGUUUAAUCCUCAACAAGCGCAUAAGCCAAGAGAUAGGGACUCAUCAGCUGUACCUGCUCAGUGAUAUGCUCGUACUCCUCGUUGAACUCUGCCAGACUGCUCUUGAUGGACCAAAGGAGCCGGCGCUUGCCUUUGUAGGAGCCCUCACCCUGCCGGGAUUUAUAUAGCUCCCCCAAGUACCUGGAGAACAGCAUACGAAAAGACCAAGUGCAUUUAGUAUACCUACUGUACUUAAUAUUGUACAGUGGAGCAUUCACUUUGUCAGUAAAUCGUCCAAGCUGUACUGUAGUUUGUGAGGGCUAAGGGUCUGGUUCUCCUCUAGUGUGAGGGCUAAGGGUCUGGUUCUCCUCUAGUGUGAGGGCUAAGGGUCUGGUUCUCCUCUAGUGUGAGGGCUAAGGGUCUGGUUCUCCUCUAG